AGACCCGAAACCCGGUGAUCUAGCCAUGGGCAGGUUGAAGGUUGGGUAACACUAACUGGAGGACCGAACCGACUAAUGUUGAAAAAUUAGCGGAUGACCUGUGGCUGGGGGUGAAAGGCCAAUCAAACCGGGAGAUAGCUGGUUCUCCCCGAAAGCUAUUUAGGUAGCGCCUCGUGAAUUCAUCUCCGGGGGUAGAGCACUGUUUCGGCUAGGGGGCCAUCCCGGCUUACCAACCCGAUGCAAACUGCGAAUACCGGAGAAUGUUAUCACGGGAGACACACGGCGGGUGCUAACGUCCGUCGUGAAGAGGGAAACAACCCAGACCGCCAGCUAAGGUCCCAAAGUCAUGGUUAAGUGGGAAACGAUGUGGGAAGGCCCAGACAGCCAGGAUGUUGGCUUAGAAGCAGCCAUCAUUUAAAGAAAGCGUAAUAGCUCACUGGUCGAGUCGGCCUGCGCGGAAGAUGUAACGGGGCUAAACCAUGCACCGAAGCUGCGGCAGCGACGCUGAUGCGUUGUUGGGUAGGGGAGCGUUCUGUAAGCCUGCGAAGGUGGCCUGUGAGGGUUGCUGGAGGUAUCAGAAGUGCGAAUGCUGACAUAAGUAACGAUAAAGCGGGUGAAAAGCCCGCUCGCCGGAAGACCAAGGGUUCCUGUCCAACGUUAAUCGGGGCAGGGU
rnacentral:rRNA from 1 species